rnacentral:lncRNA from 1 species
AUCAGAGGAAAAAUUGUCAGGUGGGUACUUUCUCACUUGCUGCAGGUAUAAGGAACAGGAAACGAGCCAAAGCACUCUGUGAAGCAAAACAUUACUUAUGAUGUCAUUCAUUCACACUGUCGUCUCUUCUCUUAGAAGCUGUUACUGAAGAUGAUCAGGGUAGACUGCAGUACAUCUCACCCAUCAAUGGGCAUUUCCUAUCAGGAGCAUCUUUAUUUUUUACCUGAAGCCUCUUGCCCCUCCAAACAGCUGGAGUCAGAUAAGGUGUGCUUGAAGGACUAUGGUGACUAUAGCUACUUAGGAAGACCAGCAUUACAUUCAUGCUUAUAUAAUAUUUGGAUUUUUAGAUCUAGUAAGUAUAAAUAUCUCACACAGAUCAUGAUGAACUUUCAGAGAUGUUUGGUUUUAAACUUAAAGGAACCAUAUGAAUUACUUAUUCUUUAUUUUU